CCUACGGGUGGCAGCAGUAGGGAAUAUUGCUCAAUGGGGGAAACCCUGAAGCAGCAACGCCGCGUGGAGGAUGAAGGUUUUCGGAUUGUAAACCCCUUUUGUUAGAGAAGAUAAUGACGGUAUCUAACGAAUAAGCACCGGCUAACUCCGUGCCAGCAGCCGCGGUAAUACGGAGGGUGCAAGCGUUAUUCGGAUUCACUGGGUGUAAAGGGAGGGUAGGCGGGAGAGCAAGUCUGAUGUGAAAUCCUAGGGCUUAACCAUAGAACUGCAUUUGAAACUGUUAUUCUAGAGUAUAGGAGAGGUAGGUGGAAUUCUUGGUGUAGCGGUAAAAUCCGUAGAGAUCAAGAGGAAUACUCAUUGCGAAGGCGACCUGCUAGAACAUAACUGACGCUGAUGCGCGAAAGCGUGGGGAGCAAACAGGAUUAGAUACCCGAGUAGUC
rnacentral:rRNA from 1 species